rnacentral:lncRNA from 1 species
GUCCUGGCAGGUCACAGAACACUGAGGUUGGGUUGUUAAGGUCCUUCAAGGUCAUAGAACAACAGGAUCACAGCAUGUUUGGGUUGUUAAGGUCCUUAAAGAUCACAGCACACUGAGGCUGUGUUGUUAAGGUCCUGGAAGGUCACAGAACCAUUAGACCACAACACGGUUGUGUUGAUAAGGUCCUGGCAGGUCAUAGAACACUGGGGUUGGGUUGAUAAGGUCCUGGCAGGUCACAGAACAGUGAGGUUGGGUUGGAAAGGUCCUUCAAGGUCAAAGAACCACGAGAUCAUGGAAUGGUUGUGUUGGAAAGGUCCUGGCAGGUCACAACACACAGUUGUGCCGUUCAGGUCCUGUCAGGUCACAGCACACAGUUGUGCUGUUCAGGUCCUGGAAGGUCACAGAACCAUUAGAUCACAACAUGGUUGUGCCGUUCAGGUCCUUACAGAUCACAGCAUGGUUGUGUUGUUCAGGUCCUGGCAGGUCACAGGACACUGAGGUUGUGUUGUUAAGGUCCUUAAAGGUCACAGAAUAAUUAGAUCACAACACGGUUGUGUUGAAAGGGUCCUUAAAGAUCAAAGAACCAUGAGAUCAUGGAAUGGUUGGGUUGGGAGGGUCCUGGCAGGUCACAGAAAACUGAGGUUGGGUUGGACAGGUCCUUAAAGGUCACAGAACCAUGGGGUUGUAUUGUUAAGGUCCUUACAGAUCACAACACACAGUUGUGCCCUCCAGGUCCUGUCAGGUCACAACAUGGUUGUGCCGUUCAGGUCCUUACAGGUCACAGAACACAGAGGUUGUGCUGGAAAGGUCCUGAAAGGACAUAGAGAACAAUGGAAACAUGGGGUGGGGGGUUGGAAAGGUCCUUAAAGGGCAUAGAACAACAGGAACAUGGAAUGGGGGGGUUGGGAGGGUCCUGGCAGGUCAGAGAACACUGAGGUUGUGCUGGAAAGGUCCUGAAAGAUCAUGGAACACUGAGGUUGGGUUGGAAAGGUCCUUAAAGGUCACAGAACACUGGGGUUGUGUUGUUCAGGUCCUGGCAGGUCACAGAACCAUUAGAUCACAACAUGGUUGUGCCGUUCAGGUCCUUACAGAUCACAGCACACAGCUGUACCAUCCAGGUCCUGUCAGGUGACGCUGUGACCCACCUGUAUCCGAACUUGUUGAUGGCGAUGGAGACGUGCCGCGGGUUGGCUCCAUCACACGUGUACAGGUUGUGGUCGUUCUCGGGCACCAGGUCGACGUCGUGCAGGAACAAACAGUCCCACUCCUCGUCCUUCAGCGCCUCCUUCACACCAACAUUCAGCAGCUUCGCGCGGUUAAACGUGCUCGAACCAGCCUGCAAAUAGGGAACAUAUAGUUAUAUAGGUAAUAUGGGAACCCUAUAGUCAUAUAGGGCACUGUGGUGAUCCUAUAGUUAUAUAGGUACUAUGGGAACCCGAUACGUAUAUAGGUACUAUGGUGAUCCUAUAGUUAUAUAGGGCACUAUGGGAACCCUAUAGCCAUAUAGGGCACUAUGGUGAUCCUAUAGCCAUAUAGGGCACUAUGGGAACCCUAUAGUCAUAUAGGGCACUAUGGUAACCCUAUAGUCCCACUCCUCGUCCUUCAGCGCCUCCUUCACACCAACGUUCAGCAGCUUCGCGCGGUUAAACGUGCUCGAACCAGCCUGGGGACAAUGGGAACCUACAGUUAUAUAGGGCACUAUGGUGACCCUAUAGUUAUAUAGGGCACUAUGGGAACCCUAUAGUUAUAUAGGGCACUAUGGUGAUCCUAUAGUCAUAUAGGGCACUAUGGUGAUCCUAUAGCCAUAUAGGGCACUAUGGUGAUCCUAUAGUUAUAUAGGGCACUAUGGUGAUC